rnacentral:rRNA from 1 species
AUGGAGCUUUAGACACACAGGUGGACCAUGUCAAACACCCCCAGCUAAGGGCCUGAACUAAAUGGAACCUGCCUUGAUGUCUUCGGUUGGGGCGACCAUGGGGAAUACAAAACCCCCACGUGGAAAGGGAGCACACCCCUAAGUUACUUCUUCUCCCGCAAGACAGAGCAACAGCUCUAACAAGCAGAAAUUCUGACCAAACUGAUCCGGUAAAACCGAUCAACGAACCA